rnacentral:rRNA from 1 species
AUUGAACGCUGGCGGCAGGCCUAACACAUGCAAGUCGGACGGUAGCACAGAGAGCUUGCUCUUGGGUGACGAGUGGCGGACGCGUGAGUAAUGUCUGGGGAUCUGCCCGAUAGAGGGGGAUAACCACUGGAAACGGUGGCUAAUACUGCAUAACGUCUCAAGACCAAAGAGGGGUACCCUCGGGCCUCUCACUAUCGGAUGAACCCAGAUGGUAUUAGCUAGUAGGCGGGGUAAUGGCCCACCUAGGCGAAGAUCCAUAGCUGGUCCGAGAGGAUAACCAGCAACCAUGGAGCUGAGACGCGGUCCAGGCUCCGACGGGCGGCAGUGGUGAGGAAUAUUGCACAAUGGGGGAAAGCCUGAUGCAUCCAUGCCGCGUGUAUGAAGAAGGCGUACGGGUUGUGGAGUACUUUCGGCGGGGAGGAAGGCGGUGAGGUUAAUAACCUCACCGAUUGACGUUACCCGCAGAAGAAGCACCGGCUAACUCCGUGCCAGCCGCCGCGGUAA